rnacentral:tRNA from 1 species
GCCUCGGUAGUGUAAUGGAUCAGCACGGCAGUCCGAAUAUCUGUAGGUAUGGGUUCGAGUCCCAUCUGAGGUU